rnacentral:rRNA from 1 species
ACGUAGGUGACAAGCGUUGUCCGGAUUUAUUGGGCGUAAAGGGAGCGCAGGCGGUCUGUUUAGUCUAAUGUGAAAGCCCACGGCUUAACCGUGGAACGGCAUUGGAAACUGACAGACUUGAAUGUAGAAGAGGAAAAUGGAAUUCCAAGUGUAGCGGUGGAAUGCGUAGAUAUUUGGAGGAACACCAGUGGCGAAGGCGAUUUUCUGGUCUAACAUUGACGCUGAGGCUCGAAAGCGUGGGGAGCGAACAG